UCGACGCCCCGCAGGGGGAGUGGCAGACGGGUGAGUAACGCGUGGGAACAUACCCUUUCCUGCGGAAUAGCUCCGGGAAACUGGAAUUAAUACCGCAUACGCCCUACGGGGGAAAGAUUUAUCGGGGAAGGAUUGGCCCGCGUUGGAUUAGCUAGUUGGUGGGGUAAAGGCCUACCAAGGCGACGAUCCAUAGCUGGUCUGAGAGGAUGAUCAGCCACAUUGGGACUGAGACACGGCCCAAACUCCUACGGGAGGCAGCAGUGGGGAAUAUUGGACAAUGGGCGCAAGCCUGAUCCAGCCAUGCCGCGUGAGUGAUGAAGGCCUUAGGGUUGUAAAGCUCUUUCACCGGAGAAGAUAAUGACGGUAUCCGGAGAAGAAGCCCCGGCUAACUUCGUGCCAGCAGCCGCGGUAAUACGAAGGGGGCUAGCGUUGUUCGGAAUUACUGGGCGUAAAGCGCACGUAGGCGGAUAUUUAAGUCAGGGGUGAAAUCCCAGAGCUCAACUCUGGAACUGCCUUUGAUACUGGGUAUCUUGAGUAUGGAAGAGGUAAGUGGAAUUCCGAGUGUAGAGGUGAAAUUCGUAGAUAUUCGGAGGAACACCAGUGGCGAAGGCGGAUUACUGGUCCAUUACUGACGCUGAAGUGCGAUAGCGUGGGGAGCAAACAGGAUUAGAU
rnacentral:rRNA from 1 species